CACGUAGGGGACGAGCGUUGUCCGGAUUCAUUGGGCGUAAAGGGUGCGUAGGCGGCGCGGUAAGUCGGGUGUGAAAUCUCGGAGCUUAACUCCGAAACUGCAUUCGAUACUGCCGUGCUUGAGGACUGGAGAGGAGACUGGAAUUUACGGUGUAGCGGUGAAAUGCGCAGAUAUCAGGAGGAACACCUAUUGCGAAGGCAGCUCGCUGGGACGUAACUGACGCUGAGACGCGAAAGCGUGGGGAGCAAACAGG
rnacentral:rRNA from 1 species